UACGAAGGGGGCUAGCGUUGUUCGGAAUUACUGGGCGUAAAGCGCGCGCAGGCGGCUAUCCAAGUCAGUGGUGAAAGCCCGGAGCUCAACUCCGGAACUGCCAUUGAAACUGUUUAGCUUGAGGACGAGAGAGGUGAGUGGAAUUCCCAGUGUAGAGGUGAAAUUCGUAGAUAUUGGGAAGAACACCGGUGGCGAAGGCGGCGAGCUGGUCCAUUACUGACGCUGAGGCGCGACAGCGUGGGGAGCAAACAGG
rnacentral:rRNA from 1 species